UACGUAGGGAGCUAGCGUUGUCCGGAAUCAUUGGGCGUAAAGCGCGCGUAGGCGGCCUGGUAAGUCCGCUGUGAAAGUCCAAGGCUCAACCUCUGAAUGUCAGCGGAUACUGCCGGGCUAGAGUCCGGAAGAGGCGAGUGGAACUCCUGGUGUAGCGGUGGAAUGCGCAGAUAUCAGGAAGAACACCAACGGCGAAGGCAGCUCGCUGGGACGGAACUGACGCUAAGGCGCGAAAGCGUGGGGAGCGAACAGG
rnacentral:rRNA from 1 species